CACUUUUUUAUAAAUAAAUUCUAGCAAUAACAUUUCGCCAACCCACUUGCUUAUAUAAAUAAAUUCUAACAAUAACAUUUCGCCCACCCACUUGCCUUGAUUCAUACUAUGAAUAAAAGAGAAAAGAGGAUAAGUUGAGCAACAACAUUUCCAAAAUGAAGGCUUCUCUCAUUCUCUGCAUUCUCUUAGCUUCCAUUCUUUCUUUUCCUUCCAUUUAUGCUGGACAAAUUAUAAUAGCUCCUUCAAGACAACCAUAUUGUCGAUUUUACAAGAGAGGUUGCCACAAGACUGUCAACGCACCACCACCAACACCAACGAAAGUGUGCAGUCCAUACGCGCGCGAAUGCCACAACCCACCAGGAAGUACGUAGAGCCUGACUGACUACUAUCCAAAAACUGCCCCUCGCUCUAGCUAGCUAGCUACCAUAUAUGUAUUUGUUUCUUUUAUUAGUUAUUUCUUUGUGACUAGUUUCAGCAGGAGUAUUUGUUUUCUUAUUAAGAUUAAAAUCAGUAAUAUAUUCUUAGGAUAA